GGCUGUGAGCACAGCUGAGAGUUGUGUCUCCGCAGGCACUACGGGAGCUUUGGCUGGGGCUCCUGGGUCAGCUUCUCUGCCGACAAGAGCUUAGUCUCCUUAGGACUUGCUGGGGUUUCGGCUUCAGGACAAAGUGGGGCUGCGUCCACGCUGACGUUGGGAGCUGGGUUUCCUGACGACCCAGACGACGCUGGGAGGAAAUGCUGAGGAUGGCAUGUGAGGAGCUGGCUUGGGCCAUUUCAGGGACUUACUUAGUUUUCCUGGGUAUCUCCCAAAUUCACAGGAGAAAGGAGAUCGCAGACCGAUAACCCAGAGACUAACGGACCCAAUUACCGGGCUGCUUGAUUCCAGCGGUGACUCUUUUGAAAUAAUGCAAGAAGAAUGCAUGACCUUCACCAUUUUGAUCCUUGUCACUCACUUCGGAUUGCGAACUCCCCUAUAAGAAUCCCUGUAAUUCCCCAGGGAGGUUGGCGGGGUGGGGCACAGUUCUAGGGGCACUAGCCUACUGUCUUCCCUUUGCCUGGCAAAGAAAAUUAAGCCUCGCUACUUCCUAUCUUCCAAACCUCUGUCUCCAUAUUUUUAUUUGGCAUCGGUGCACAGGGAGCCAAGAUUUUUGCAACAGUCUUGGGAUUGAAUCCUUGUAGAGGUAGAUGGCAAGUGCCAAUUUUUAGUUGGCGGGUUUACUGUUACCAUUUUACUCUAGCCUUUGUGUAAAAUUGAAAAGUCUGAAAAGAACCAAUGUUUUAGAAGAAGCAGUGCCACUUGUAAACAUCCUGCCACCUAACAGGACAGCCUCUUCUUCUCCACCCAUGACUUGAUAAGACAGGAAGCUCUCAACACACAGGCCUGGAGAAGGUGGAUUUCACAAGUCACUGUGAGUUAAAACUGUUCUAAUGCAAUGGAGCUACUAAAUACAUAUGCUUGUUCUUAAGAAAAAUUAUAAAACUAACAAAUCCUUUUCUCCAGAUAUAAAAAAUAAAAUCUAUU